rnacentral:rRNA from 1 species
AUGCUUCUCCUAAAGACUAAGCCAUGCAUGCCUUCGAAUAGAAGAGCUUUCUCUCUGAAUCUGCGUACGGCUCCGCAAACCAGUUGUAAACCAUAGCAAGCAGACCUUGGGAACGGAGCAAUCCGUUCCCUUGGUCAUAGGGAUAACCCUGGUAAUUCUGAGGCUAAUACAAGAUCGUACCACCUGGCGAACCGGGCGACUGGUGAGCUGGGGUACGUGUGGAACGUCGCAUUACCAGUGGGAGAAGUCACACGCUCUGACCAUCACACAAAUGUUCCCGGUUGGACCGCCCCUCGGGGUGGCUCGGCUGGGUGCAGGUGGCUCUUGCAACGUGCUUCUGACCUAUCAACUAGAUGGCAGCGUAAGGGACAUGCUAUGGUGACAACGGGUACAGAGGAUAAGGGUUCGAUCCUGGAGAGUGGGCCUGAGAGAUCGCUCACACUUCUAAGGAAGGCAGCAGGCGCGCAACGUUCCCAGUGGACAUCGUCCGAGGGCGUUAGGGGAAAUAUGAAUGUCUGCCAUAUGGUGGACAAUUCAAAUGGGUUCGUUCUAAACAACCCU